rnacentral:rRNA from 1 species
UACGUAGGGAGCAAGCGUUGUCCGGAAUCAUUGGGCGUAAAGCGCGCGUAGGUGGCCACAUAAGUCCGUUGUGAAAGUCAAAGGCUCAACCUUUGAAAGCCGAUGGAUACUGUGUGGCUAGAGUACGGAAGAGGCAAGCGGAAUUCCGGGUGUAGCGGUGGAAUGCGUAGAGAUCCGGAAGAACACCGGAGGCGAAGGCGGCUUGCUGGGCGUGAUCUGACGCUGAGGCGCGAAAGCGUGGGGAGCGAACAGG